GCCAGUGUGGUGUAGUGGUUUGAAUGUUGGACUAUGGCUCUGGAGAUCAGGGUUUGAUUCCUUGCUUAGCCA